GCCCCGAUAGCUCAAUGGUAGAGCACCUGCCUUGUAAGCAGGGGGUUGUGGGUUCAAGUCCCACUCGGGGCU
rnacentral:tRNA from 1 species